UGCCAGACUCCUACGGGAGGCAGCAGUGGGGAAUAUUGCACAAUGGGCGAAAGCCUGAUGCAGCAACGCCGCGUGAAGGAAGACGGUUUUCGGAUUGUAAACUUCUAUCAAUAGGGAAGAAAGAAAUGACGGUACCUAAAUAAGAAGCCCCGGCUAACUACGUGCCAGCAGCCGCGGUAAUACGUAGGGGGCAAGCGUUAUCCGGAAUUACUGGGUGUAAAGGGAGAGUAGGCGGCAAGGUAAGCGAUAUGUGAAAGCCUUAAGCUUAACUUAAGGAUUGCAUAACGAACUAUCUAGCUAGAGUACAGGAGAGGAAAGCGGAAUUCCUAGUGUAGCGGUGAAAUGCGUAGAUAUUAGGAGGAACACCAGUGGCGAAGGCGGCCUGCUGGGCUUUUACUGACGCUGAGGCUCGAAAGUGUGGGGAGCAAACAGGAUUAGAUACCCCUGUAGAU
rnacentral:rRNA from 1 species